rnacentral:rRNA from 1 species
GACGAACGCUGGCGGCGUGCCUAACACAUGCAAGUCGAACGGAGAUAUGAUUUCGGUUAUAUCUUGGUGGCGAACGGGUGAGUAACGCGUGAGCAACCUGACUCUUAGAGGGGGAUAACACUCGGAAACGGGUGCUAAUACCGCAUAAGACCACGACAUGGCAUCAUGACGAGGUCAAAGGAGCAAUCCGCUGAGAGAGGGGCUCGCGUCCCAUUAGAUAGAUGGCGGGGUAACGGCCCACCAUGUCAACGAUGGGUAGCCGAGCUGAGAGGCUGAUCGGCCACAAUGAAACUGAGACACGGUCCAGACUCCUACGGGAGGCAGCAGUGGGGAAUAUUGGGCAAUGGGCGCAAGCCUGACCCAGCAACGCCGCGUGAGGGAAGAAGGCUUUCGGGUUGUAAACCUCUGUCCUUGGUGAAGAAGCAGAUGACGGUAGCGUACGAAUAAGUCCCGGCUAACUACGUGCCAGCAGCCGCAGUAA